GAGAUGGGUACUUGUAAGGAGGAGGAGGAGAUUUGUACUUGUAAACAGGUGGUGGAGGAGAUGGGUACUUGUAUGGUGGAGGUGGAGGAGAUGGGUACUUGUAAGGAGGAGGAGGAGAUUUGUACUUGUAAACAGGUGGUGGAGGAGAUGGAUACUUGUAUGGAGGGGGUGGAGGAGAAGGGUAUUUGUAGGGAGGUGGUGGUGACUUGUACUUGUAGACUGGAGGUGGUGGUGAUUUGUACUUGUAGACUGGAGGUGGUGGUGACUUGUACUUGUACACUGGUGGUGGGGGUGAUGGAUAUUUGUAAGGCUUCUUAGGAGGUGGUGGUGGUGACUUGUACUUGUAAACCGGAGGUGGUGGUGACUUGUACUUAUAAACUGGUGGUG
rnacentral:lncRNA from 1 species